AUUUGAUGAUUUGUCCACCUGAAGGGCUUUAUAACAUUUCUAUUUAUGUCAUUUUCAGGUCUAAUCUGCACAGGCAAUAUGUUGCUGUUUCCAGUCCUUCUUGCAACUUCAUUUUGGUCCUUUGGUCCAUGUGUAGACAUGCAGUCAGUGCCAGUGCAAACCCCAGCAAUGCAGAAGCAGAUGAAGGGCAUGUCUGCCAGCAUGUCAUGUCAACUGGGAGAGAAAAACAUUGUGCACUGGUACAGGCAGCUUCCCGGACAGCUGCCGAAGAGGAUACUGUACGAGACUGGACAGACACUUGUUUUUGAGGACAACAAUGAUGGAAAUAGAUUUCGAGUUCGGAGUGAUCCUACUCGGCCCAUAUAUGAUCUCGAGAUAAAUUCUUUAACCCUGAGGGAUUCUGGCAUUUAUUACUGUGCAUACUGGUAUUAA